UACGUAGGGGGCUAGCGUUGUCCGGAAUCAUUGGGCGUAAAGAGCGUGUAGGCGGUCCGGUAAGUCCGCUGUGAAAGUCGGGGGCUCAACCCUCGAAUGCCGGUGGAUACUGUCGGGCUAGAGUGCGGAAGAGGCGUGUGGAAUUCCGGGUGUAGUGGUGAAAUGCGUAGAGAUCCGGAGGAACACCAGUGGCGAAGGCGACACGCUGGGCCGUACCUGACACUGAUACGCGACAGCAUGGGGAGCGAACGGG
rnacentral:rRNA from 1 species